rnacentral:misc_RNA from 1 species
AAGUCGUAACAAGGUCUCCGUUGGUGAACCAGCGGAGGGAUCAUUACAGAGUUACUACUCCAAACCCAUUGUGAACCUUACCUAUGUUCUGUUGCCUCGGCGGCGCGGUCAGCGCCCGAAAGGACGACGGCCCCCGCCGGCAGCACCAAACUCUUGAAUUUUACAGCGGAUUACAGUUCUGAUUUGAAACAAAAAAAACAAGUUAAAACUUUCAACAACGGAUCUCUUGGUUCUG